rnacentral:rRNA from 1 species
ACUCCUGCGGGAGGCAGCAGUGGGGAAUUUUGGACAAUGGGCGAAAGCCUGAUCCAGCAAUGCCGCGUGUGUGAAGAAGGCCUUCGGGUUGUAAAGCACUUUUGUCCGGAAAGAAAUCCUUGGCUCUAAUACAGUCGGGGGAUGACGGUACCGGAAGAAUAAGCACCGGCUAACUACGUGCCAGCAGCCGCGGUAAUACGUAGGGUGCGAGCGUUAAUCGGAAUUACUGGGCGUAAAGCGUGCGCAGGCGGUUUGCUAAGACCGAUGUGAAAUCCCCGGGCUCAACCUGGGAACUGCAUUGGUGACUGGCAGGCUAGAGUAUGGCAGAGGGGGGUAGAAUUCCACGUGUAGCAGUGAAAUGCGUAGAGAUGUGGAGGAAUACCGAUGGCGAAGGCAGCCCCCUGGGCCAAUACUGACGCUCAUGCACGAAAGCGUGGGGAGCAAACAGGAUUAGAUACCCCUGUAGUCCCAUGAU